AUCCAGCUGAUGAAUCGCAAACAGGACAAAAUGCGCGUCCUGGAU
rnacentral:hammerhead_ribozyme from 1 species